UACGAAGGGAGCUAGCGUUACUCGGAAUUACUGGGCGUAAAGCGUGCGCAGGCGGUCUGCUCAGUUGGAAGUGAAAGCCCGGGGCCUAACCCCGGAACUGCUUUCAAAACUAGCAGACUUGAGUAUUGGAGGGGAUAGCGGAAUUCCUAGUGUAGAGGUGAAAUUCGUAGAUACUAGGAGGAACACCGGUGGCGAAAGCGGCUAUCUGGCCAAAUACUGACGCUGUUGCACGAAAGCGUGGGGAGCAAACAGG
rnacentral:rRNA from 1 species